rnacentral:rRNA from 1 species
AUGGGCAACGCCAAGAGUUCACGCAGAUGCACCCGCGGGAGCUCUGACAGCGGGAGCAGCGAGGAGGACGACGCACCCGCGGUCCGGGCGCUCACCAUGCCGGGCCCCAAGACCCCCCGCAAGGGCGUCAACAACAAGCCCACAGACAAGAAGGUCAAUGCCGUCGUCCCGCCCAAGCCCACGGGGAAUAGCUCCCCCGGUGGGGGCAGCAAGAAGAAGAAGAACCCUCGCCUCGUCAGCGACUCCACGGUUCAGGAGCGGCGAGCCGACCCGCAGCUCACCAAGAAGGUCGCCAACAGUAAGUCCACGGAUAAGAAGGUCGUCAACAACAAGUCCAUGGACAAGAAGGUUGACGACAUCGUCCCGCCCAAGCCCAUGCAGAAGAGCUCCGCUAGCGGGAGCAGCCAGAAGAACCCGCCCCUCGUCGGUGACUCUGUGGUCCACGAGCGGCAAGCCGACCCGCAGCUCACCAAGAAGGUCGUCAACAACAAGUCCGCGGACAAGAAGGUCGUCAACAACAAGUCCACGGACAAGAAGGUCGACGACAUCGUCCCGCCCAAGCCCAUGGAGAAGAGCUCCGCCAGCGGGAGCAGCGAGAAGAACCCUCCCCUCAUCGGCGACUCCGCGGUCUCGCAAGCCGACCUGCUGCAGCUCACCGACGCGCCCCCCAAAAGCUCCCGCAAGCGCGACAGCAAGGCCACGGACAAGAAGGUCGACACCGUCGUCCCUCCCAAGCCCAUGGAGAAGAGCUCCGCCGGCGAGAGCUGCGAGAAGACGGGCAGCCGCGUCGUCGACGUCUCCGCGGUCCAGGACCCACAGCUCGAGGCGGUGCUCGCCGAGAUGCAGCGGCACCACCAUUGCCAUUGUCAAUACGUCGGCCAUGGCACGGCCGCCGCGUUGGCGGAGAACAACCACCACCACCAUCAGCAGCAGCCGGUUCUCGGCGCCGCCGACGGGGCGGAGCAGUGCCCGUCCUCGUCCUACUACAAGGGCGUGAUGGCCGUGGAUCUGGUGCCGACAGAGGCCAGCGAGGAGGUGCGCGUGCUGGCCACGGCGGACCCCGUGCGCCGCCACAAGCCCACCAAGAAGGACCCUAGCCUCGUCGACGCUCCCGCGCUGCAAGCCGACCCGCAGCUCGAGGCGGUUCUCGCUAACAUGCAGGAGCAGGCGCUGCAAGCCGACGCGCAGCUCGAGGCGGUUCUCGCUAACAUGCAGCGGCAGGCGCCGCCGCCGCAUCAUCGUCAGUAG